GUCAAGGGGGCCCAGCGAUGGGCAACCGGCGAACGGGUGCGUAACACGUGAGCAACCUACCGAACUGUGGGGGAUAGCCGGCCUAACGGCCGAGUAAUACCGCAUACGCUUUCAGUGAGGCAUUUCAUUGAAAGGAAACCUACGGGACAGAUCGAGGGGCUCGCGGCCUAUCAGCUAGUUGGCGAGGUAACGGCUCACCAAGGCAACGACGGGUAGCUGGUCUGAGAGGAUGGCCAGCCACAUUGGGACUGAGAUACGGCCCAGACUCCUACGGGAGGCAGCAGUGGGGAAUCUUGCGCAAUGGCCUAACGGCUGACGCAGCGACGCCGCGUGUGGGAUGAAGCUCUUCGGAGUGUAAACCACUGUUGCCCGGGACGAACAGCUCGAUUAAUCGAGCCUGACGGUACCGGGUGAGGAAGCACCGGCUAACUCCGUGCCAGCAGCCGCGGUAAUACGGGGGGUGCGAGCGUUGUCCGGAAUCACUGGGCGUAAAGGGCGCGUAGGUGGUUUGAUAA
rnacentral:rRNA from 1 species